GUGGUGGGAGCCAUGCGGUCAGGAUUGAGGGUGAGAGACGCACAGGAGGACGAUGACGAGGGGGUUGACUCCCUGUCGAAGCGAACGGGAUCUACUGCCUGAGGAAAGGUUGUUCGUCGACCGAAGCCACCAAGGACCCUUGUAGCAUUGAAGACUUCGGGAAAUAAAGCUGACAAUGUUUUGCACCUUGUUAGCUUAAUUCUACAUCCAUGUUAAUUAACCCGUUCAGUAAAGCAUUCCCCGGUUCUGUGAUUCGCUAACCCAGAUCUAGCCAACAUGUUUCGCAACGUUAACAUGAACCAAUGAAAUAAUGAAGGCUCAACUUAUGUUUGUACAAUGAUGGUGCUCAUUUAACAGUCUUUCUGUAAAGUACGCCACAUUAUCAACGUAAUAUAAGCUCUGGAUGCAAUUUAAAAUCUAAAGAAUUAUGAUUAGCAACCAGAAUAUUGUUCAGACAUUUCCCGCUUAAAGUAUCUCACGGUAACCAAUCAGUGAGUUGCUCAUGUUAACCAAUAAGGAACUUUGGCAGGAAAUCGAUGUUUAUACACUGAUAUACAGUAAACUUAUUUAGUAUUUUCUGUUGAAACCUACGCUCACAUGACCAAAUAAGAUAUGUUCAUUUAUAGACGACGCAGCUUGAACAUUAUUACUGUGGUGGCCAGCUUGGGCCGGUCCUAUAUUUUGGGUGGCUCUUCAUUGUCACCGGGGGGAGUAUUUUGAGUUCAAUAUUUAUUCAUAAUGUCAAAAUAUAACACUUUCAAUAAGAAUAAUAAGCCAAAGUUAGAUCAAACUAAUAGUGCAUAUAUUUCAGCCUUCUGGCCCACAUGUGGCUGCGCCCCUGAUGUGGCAUGUUUCCGAUUCGUUUCCUUCUUCCUAGCAGUGUGAACCGCACACAUCACAUCUGCUCGAAUCCGAUCCGUUUCUCAAAACCAGAUAGGGCCAACUCUCUAGACGCACACCUAAAAGCAAUCCGAAGCCUCUGAAUCCAACGUGGGAAAUCGGAAUCGCCUGAAAACGCUCAGAAUGUUUGUAUCGUCAGUAAAUAGAUUAAUCCUAGCAUAAGGUCAUAGACGGCUAUAUACCAGUACUCUGUUCAAAGCGGUUUGGUCCACAGGUGAUGGUGAAGACGUUCGGUGGCCAGCAGUUGCUCAGUACUCAGUGUAGAUCCUGUGGGGCAGGCAGCAGCUACAUCUGGCUACUGGGUCUCUGCUGGCGGCCAUGUCUGCACCGGAGGAGCGCCAAGACUGGGUCUCUGCCGGCGGCCAUGUUGGCACUAGUGGAGCGCCAAGACUGGGUCUCUGCCGGCGGCCAUGUUGGCACCGGAGGAGCGCCAAGACUGGGUCUCUGCCGGCGGCCAUGUUGGCACCGGAGGAGCGCCAAGACUGGAAGUGGAGUCAAAUUAAUUUAAAAAAAGUGCUGUAUUUUCCUAUGUUCGAAUAGGAAGCACCUUAUCAUCCCUCCUUGACCCGAUGACGUUUUUUCACAAAGGUAAAGGAAAGGAGGCCUAAAGUUUAGGAUAUUUGACUAUUCUGCCGGCGGCCAUGUUGGCACCCGGGGAAGAGCAACGACGGAACGCGACGCUAGUCGAUACAAAUGCCUCCAGACCCAUUGGCUGUAAAGAGGUGAUGCUAUGCCACCAGGUGUAAGCGUGAUUUGCAAUUGCGAGAAUUUUGAAAAUCUGCGUUUUCCUGUGUUUUAGUGACACAAUAAGUGGGCGUGUCCAUCUAGAUGUAUGCUGGACACGCCCACUUGUGAUGUCACUAAAACACAGGAAAAGGCAGAUUUUCAAACGGUAAUUCACGCUCUGACCUGGUGGCAUUCUUUUUUGAAUCAUUGAAAAUUCAACCAUGCAGCAGACUAAAUAUUCGAUUAAUUGGUCUAUUAAUGAAUGACGUCAAUGAAAACAUUUUGCUGCUCGUUGUGAGAGGCAGAAUGAUGGAUGUCAAACUUUUAAAAAGAAAUGUGUUUUGAUAUUGAACUGGGCCCGUUGUACUGGUUGUACUGGGUGUUAUUCUGGACCCGGCAUACAUUGUAGGAUUCUGUGUGGGUGAAGCGACAGCUACAUUGUCUGCUGGGUUUCAGACGGCACCCCCAUGACCGCAUGACAUUUGGGUGGUGGAUGUCUUUGGUGAAGACGGUCGCCUUAAACUGUCCUGAUUGACACCGGUCAGAAUCCCCUCUGAAUCGCUGUGUUUAAAAGUGUAUGCUACAUGAUGAAAUAAGGGUAUUUACUCAUAGUGCCGAGGUAAGUUUUAUAAACUUUAGGAAAGAAUUGAUGUCGUUAUGAUGUCUGUCUUAAUGUCAUAAGUGGUUAAAAUGUGUAUUUUUCAAACAGAUAUACAUAUAUAUUAUCUCUAUCUAUUUAUGACAUCAGUUUUUGGCCAUACCACAAAUGUUAAAUUAAAUACUAUACACCAGUUUGAAGACUGAAAGGGGAAUACUUAAUGGUAAAAUCCGAUCGGAUUUUGCAUGGAAAUAUUGCUUACUGCUACUGUAUUGUGCAUCAGUCCUAUGUUGCAUGAAUUAAUUAUUCAUGGUCUGAGUGCGUGCGUUAAUGUGUUAUCAUGCAGAUCCAUUAAAGAUACAAUCACAAAACUUCCAUGGCUAAUUUGACAACUUUUGUGUUUAUUGACCCAUAAAACAUUCUUCAAACAAUAAAACGAUUUUAAACGUUUCUGUACAACGCUUGCUAAGCAGUUUAUUCAUAUAUAGAAAAAUGUACGCGGAGGCGUGUCCAAAUGACAGCUCUCCUUCAAAUUUAAUGGCAGGUAUUCUGGAAAAAAAUGGACAGCAUUCCAUCAACAAAUACUUUCAAGCAAUAAAUAUGUAUUUUAUAAAUAGUGUGAAUUUACAUUGAGAUUAGAAAUUUUAACGAAAAAACAAAAUCACAAAUUAAGCUUUUAUUCCAUAAGUCUAUGUGCAAACCCAUUUUCUUUGUGACUUGGCUAGUUAUUUUUAUCCUCUAAAAAUAUUCCUAUUUUAAACUAAAAUGAAAAAGAAAGUUUCAAAAUGAACGGAGAUGUUAAAUGUAAAAAGCUGUGAAAUAAAAAUAGGAACGAAAAAAUCAUCAUCCAAGCUUUUCACAUUACAUUUUUUUUGUAGAUUUCAAAGUCUUAAAAUCACUAUCUACCAUCGAAAAUGAAGACCAGUUAGGCUAGUACGCCAUUAGACAAAAACGGGAAGAAACAAGAAAAUUAAUGGAGAGAGAGAAAUCCAACAAAAAAGAAAAAGGGGGAUAAAGCCAGCGAUUCAUUCUGUUAACCGAAAAUUUAACAAACGAGAAGAAAGCGAGAGAAAAGAAGAAAAGGUAGUCACGUCAGUAGUCGUUUUUAACAAAUGGCGACGCCAUUCGCGGUAAUUAUCUACAAAAAAAAAGAACCCCAAAAAAAAAA